rnacentral:rRNA from 1 species
CCUACGGGAGGCAGCAGUGAGGAAUAUUGGACAAUGGGCGCAAGCCUGAUCCAGCCAUGCCGCGUGCAGGAAGACGCAUCUAUGGUGUGUAAACUGCUUUUGUACGGGAAGAAACACUCCUACGUGUAGGAGCUUGACGGUACCGUAAGAAUAAGGAUCGGCUAACUCCGUGCCAGCAGCCGCGGUAAUACGGAGGAUCCAAGCGUUAUCCGGAAUCAUUGGGUUUAAAGGGUCCGUAGGCGGUUUGAUAAGUCAGUGGUGAAAGCCCAUCGCUCAACGAUGGAACGGCCAUUGAUACUGUCAGACUUGAAUUAUUAGGAAGUAACUAGAAUAUGUAGUGUAGCGGUGAAAUGCUUAGAUAUUACAUGGAAUACCAAUUGCGAAGGCAGGUUACUACUAAUGGAUUGACGCUGAUGGACGAAAGCGUGGGGAGCGAACAGGAUUAGAUACCCUGGUAGUCCACGCCGUAAACGAUGGAUACUAGCUGUUCGGAGCAAUCUGAGUGGCUAAGCGAAAGUGAUAAGUAUCCCACCUGGGGAGUACGUUCGCAAGAAUGAAACUCAAAUGAAUUGACGG